rnacentral:rRNA from 1 species
UACGGAGGGUCCAAGCGUUAUCCGGAAUCAUUGGGUUUAAAGGGUCCGUAGGCGGUUUAGUAAGUCAGUGGUGAAAGCCCAUCGCUCAACGGUGGAACGGCCAUUGAUACUGCUAAACUUGAAUUAUUAGGAAGUAACUAGAAUAUGUAGUGUAGCGGUGAAAUGCUUAGAUAUUACAUGGAAUACCGAUUGCGAAGGCAGGUUACUACUAAUGGAUUGACGCUGAUGGACGAAAGCGUGGGUGGCGAACAGG